rnacentral:rRNA from 1 species
GCGUAAUAGCUCACUGGUCGAGUCGGCCUGCGCGGAAGAUGUAACGGGGCUAAACCAUGCACCGAAGCUGCGGCAGCGACACUAUGUGUUGUUGGGUAGGGGAGCGUUCUGUAAGCCUGCGAAGGUGACCUGUGAGGGUUGCUGGAGGUAUCAGAAGUGCGAAUGCUGACAUAAGUAACGAUAAAGCGGGUGAAAAGCCCGCUCGCCGGAAGACCAAGGGUUCCUGUCCAACGUUAAUCGGGGCAGGGUGAGUCGACCCCUAAGGCGAGGCCGAAAGGCGUAGUCGAUGGGAAACAGGUUAAUAUUCCUGUACUUGGUGUUACUGCGAAGGGGGGACGGAGAAGGCUAUGUUAGCCGGGCGACGGUUGUCCCGGUUUAAGCAUGUAGGCUGAUUAUCCAGGCAAAUCCGGAUAAUCAAGGCUGAGGUGUGAUGACGAGGCACUACGGUGCUGAAGUAACAAAUGCCCUGCUUCCAGGAAAAGCCUCUAAGCAUCAGGUAACAUCAAAUCGUACCCCAAACCGACACAGGUGGUCAGGUAGAGAAUACCAAGGCGCUUGAGAGAACUCGGGUGAAGGAACUAGGCAAAAUGGUGCCGUAACUUCGGGAGAAGGCACGCUGGUGUGUAGGUGAAGCCCCUGCGGGUGGAGCUGAGACCAGUCGAAGAUACCAGCUGGCUGCAACUGUUUAUUAAAAACACAGCACUGUGCAAACACGAAAGUGGACGUAUACGGUGUGACGCCUGCCCGGUGCCGGAAGGUUAAUUGAUGGG